CUCAUAUAACCUCAAAUAUAAAAACAGAGAAAAAACAUAAUAGUGCAAUAUGGUAUGGUGAAUAGGUAAAAUGUUAGAGUGGAUUAGAGUAAUAUACACUCACAUUUGGUAGAGCUAACCAGGAGCUCUACCGUAAUUCGUAUGGACGGAACAAUCCCCGUCUAAGCUCCAAUAGUGUAGUAUAUUAAAGGAAGUUCUCUCUGCUUUGCAGACACUACACUAUUGGAGUUUCC